UACAGGGGGGGCAAGCGUUGUUCGGAAUUACUGGGCGUAAAGGGCCAGUAGGCGGCCAACUAAGUCACACGUGAAAUCCCCAGGCUUAACCUGGGAACUGCGUGUGAUACUGGAUGGCUUGAAUUCGGGAGAGGGAUGCAGAAUUCCAGGUGUAGCGGUGAAAUGCGUAGAUAUCUGGAGGAAUACCGGUGGCGAAGGCGGCAUCCUGGACCGACAUUGACGCUGAACGGCGAAAGCUAGGGGAGCAAACGGGAGUUA
rnacentral:rRNA from 1 species